AUGAACACUACUGGCAUAAGAGCCAUUGUCCGAUUAGUGCUCUCCGACAUACCCAUCUUCAUGAUGAUGGCCAUUCAGGCAACACCUGGUAUUCUAAAGGACAUUGAUAAGAGAUCUACAGAAAAUUUCUAUGGACUCGGGAGGAAAGUGCAAAGUAAACUGGCGUUCGAGCCAAAUAGGCCAUGGGUUGGAUCUUCUCCCCCCUGCGAUGAGCGAGGUCGUGACCUCUCUGUCGCUACCACCAUGGUGACGAUCAUCGAUGGGGAAACGACCAAGUUAUGGGGAUCCACCUGGUUGGGAACUACACUGAUGCGCUCUGUUGCACCAUCAUUGUUCUUCUCUCCAGAACCGGUAAACUACAAUAAACAGCCCUCCCCUGCUUCGCCUCCCCGUCACCGUCACCCUCACCCAUCCGUUGCGCAUUUCCAAUCCCCCUCGCAAUCACAUUCCCGAAUUAACGGCCCCUCCUCCCACCCCCCUACGCGCUUCCCGUCGCGCCUCCCCCCUAAAAAUAGGCAGAUCUCGCGCCGGGGGGCGACGCGCCGGCCUCCUCCUCCUCCUCCCCGCUUCAUCCACCGCAGCUCCUCUCCUCGCCGCCGGUUGAUCCGACGACGCCGAUCAAUCCAGCCGGCAUUCAUCUUCACCUUCUCCUCCGCGGUUAACUCGAUCUGCGCCGCGCAAGUCUCGUUCCGCUUUUGUUUGAUUGCGAUCUAUCCUCUCCCCGUCCCCGUGGCGUCGUUUUCGUCUCACCCCUGCCCGCCCACCCGCACCCGCGCGGUUGAUUCUUUGUUGUUUGUUCCCAUCUGA
rnacentral:rRNA from 1 species